UACAGAGGUCUCAAGCGUUGUUCGGAUUCAUUGGGCGUAAAGGGUGCGUAGGCGGCGCGGUAAGUCGGGUGUGAAAUCUCGGAGCUUAACUCCGAAACUGCAUUCGAUACUGCCGUGCUUGAGGACUGGAGAGGAGACUGGAAUUUACGGUGUAGCGGUGAAAUGCGUAGAUAUCGUAAGGAAGACCAGUGGCGAAGGCGGGUCUCUGGACAGUUCCUGACGCUGAGGCACGAAGGUCAGGGGAGCAAACAGGG
rnacentral:rRNA from 1 species